rnacentral:rRNA from 1 species
UACGGAGGGGGCUAGCGUUGUUCGGAAUUACUGGGCGUAAAGCGCACGUAGGCGGCUUUGUAAGUUAGAGGUGAAAGCCCGGGGCUCAACUCCGGAAUUGCCUUUAAGACUGCAUCGCUAGAGUUGUGGAGAGGUAAGUGGAAUUCCGAGUGUAGAGGUGAAAUUCGUAGAUAUUCGGAAGAACACCGGUGGCGAAGGCGGCGACCUGGUCCGAUACUGACGCUGAGGCGCGAAAGCGUGGGGAGCAAACAGG